rfam:Gossypium hirsutum cultivar TM-1 chromosome 25, whole genome shotgun sequence
CACGUUAGCGCGACCUGUUGACGUGGAAGGAAAUCGCGUCCCUGAGGGAGCGAUUUCCUUCCACGUCAGCAGAUCGCGCUGACGUGG